AGGACGAACGCUGGCGGCGUGCUUAACACAUGCAAGUCGAGCGGAAAGGCCCUUCGGGGUACUCGAGCGGCGAACGGGUGAGUAACACGUGAGCAACCUGCCCUUAGCUCUGGGAUAGCUCCGGGAAACCGGAAUUAAUACCGGAUAUGACCUAGGCCGACAUCGGCCGUGGUGGAAAGUUUUUCGGCUAGGGAUGGACUCGCGGCCUAUCAGCUAGUUGGUGGGGUAAUGGCCUACCAAGGCGACGACGGGUAGCCGGCCUGAGAGGGCGACCGGCCACACUGGGGCUGAGGCACGGCCCAGACUCCUACGGGAGGCAGCAGUGGGGAAUCUUGCGCAAUGGGCGAAAGCCUGACGCAGCGACGCCGCGUGGGGGAUGAAGGCCUUCGGGUUGUAAACCCCUUUCACCAGGAGCGAAUCAAGACGGUACCUGGGGAAGAAGCGCCGGCUAACUACGCGCCAGCAGCCGC
rnacentral:rRNA from 1 species